CCGAUGAAGGACGUGACUAACUGCGAUAUGCUUCGGGGAGUUGUAAGUAAACUGUGAACCGGAGAUUUCCGAAUGGGGCAACCCAGCAGGCCUAACGGCCUGUUAUCGCUAAGUGAAUUCAUAGCUUAGUUGAAGGUAGACGUGGGGAACUGAAACAUCUAAGUACCCAUAGGAAGAGAAAGAAAUUCGAUUCCCCCAGUAGCGGCGAGCGAAGAGGGAAGAGCCCAAACCGAGAAGCUUGCUUCUCGGGGUUGUAGGACUGGACUUUAGAGUUACCAAGAGAUUUGAUAGUUGAAUGAUUUGGGAAAAUCAGCCAGAGAAGGUGAGAGCCCUGUAAACGAAAUUAAGUCUCCUCUGUCCAGGAUCCUGAGUACGGCGGAACACGUGAAACUCCGUCGGAAUCCGGGAGGACCAUCUCCCAAGGCUAAAUACUACCUAGUGACCGAUAGUGAACCAGUACCGUGAGGGAAAGGUGAAAAGCACCCCGGGAGGGGAGUGAAAGAGUUCCUGAAACCAUGUGCCUACAAGUAGUUAGAGCCCGUUAAUGGGUGAUAGCGUGCCUUUUGUAGAAUGAACCGGCGAGUUACGUUAGCAUGCGAGGUUAAGGGGGAAAGCCCGGAGCCAAAGCGAAAGCGAGUCUGAAUAGGGCGCUUUAGUAUGUUGACGUAAACCCGAAACCAGGUGACCUACCC
rnacentral:rRNA from 1 species